UACAGGCUUAACACAUGCAAGUCGAGGGGAAACGAUAUUGGAAGCUUGCUUCCGAUAGGCGUCGACCGGCGCACGGGUGAGUAACGCGUAUCCAACCUGCCCAUCACUUGGGGAUAACCUUGCGAAAGUAAGACUAAUACCCAAUGAUAUCCGUCGAAGACAUCUGAAGUGGAUUAAAGAUUCAUCGGUGAUGGAUGGGGAUGCGUCUGAUUAGCUUGUUGGCGGGGUAACGGCCCACCAAGGCAACGAUCAGUAGGGGUUCUGAGAGGAAGGUCCCCCACAUUGGAACUGAGACACGGUCCAAACUCCUACGGGAGGCAGCAGUGAGGAAUAUUGGUCAAUGGACGAGAGUCUGAACCAGCCAAGUAGCGUGCAGGAUGACGGCCCUAUGGGUUGUAAACUGCUUUUAUAAGGGAAUAAAGUGGGAGUCGUGACUCCUUUUGCAUGUACCUUAUGAAUAAGGACCGGCUAAUUCCGUGCCAGCAGCCGCGGUAAUACGGAAGGUCCGGGCGUUAUCCGGAUUUAUUGGGUUUAAAGGGAGCGUAGGCCGGAGAUUAAGCGUGUUGUGAAAUGUAGAUGCUCAACAUCUGCACUGCAGCGCGAACUGGUUUCCUUGAGUACGCACAAAGUGGGCGGAAUUCGUGGUGUAGCGGUGAAAUGCUUAGAUAUCACGAAGAACUCCGAUUGCGAAGGCAGCUCACUGGAGCGCAACUGACGCUGAAGCUCGAAAGUGCGGGUAUCGAACAGGAUUAGAUACCCUGGUAGUCCGCACGGUAAACGAUGGAUGCCCGCUGUUGGUCUGAAUAGGUCAGCGGCCAAGCGAAAGCAUUAAGCAUCCCACCUGGGGAGUACGCCGGCAACGGU
rnacentral:rRNA from 1 species